AUUAACAGGUAUAGAGAGACAUAAGACAGGUCAGACAGACAUUCGAGGGUCAUUAACAGGUAUAGAGAGACAUAAGACAGGUCAUAGACAGACAUCGAGGGUCAUUAACAGGUAUAGAGAGACAUAAGACAGGUCAGACAGACAUUCGAUGGUCAUUAACAGGUAUAGAGAGACAUAAGACAGGUCAUAGACAUUCGAGGGUCAUUAACAGGUAUAGAGAGACAUAAGACAGGUCAGACAGACAUUCGAUGGUCAUUAACAGGUAUAGAGAGACAUAAGACAGGUCAUAGACAGACAUUCGAGGGUCAUUAACAGGUAUAGAGAGACAUAAGACAGGUCAGACAGACAUUCGAGGGUCAUUAACAGGUAUAGAGAGACAUAAGACAGUCAUUGCAGACAUAAAGGAGUAUAGAUGUAUCUAGAGACCGAGUCCUAGGAGGAACUAGAAAGACGUCCUGGACUGUAGAGGACAUGAGGCUGGUCAUAAAGGGACAUUAGAAGACAUUGGUCAGCUUGAUGGCAGAGACGAGCUCCUGUUUUAGGAUGAGAAACUACCAGCAGGAAUGUCAGGUUGUUCUACUGACCUCUAACCUCUGACCCUGCAGAUGGACGAUGCUCCCGAGGCGGAGAAGGAGGAAGCCAAGUCUGAGUAGCAACACUGCCGACCCCUGACCCCAACCCCCAGCCUGCCCCAGUGUUCGUGGUCCCCCUCCAAGGCAUAUUGUUAACAGAGGAAUAUUUUUAUCAGUGAUUUUAUAAGUAUACUAUCUACUGUCCGUACAGAUUUUUAGCACAAAGCAAAGCUGAGUAAUUUGCUGCAGAUCUGCAGUGGUCAUAUCAACAAAGUGUCUGCAGGCAAGAGGAACACACUAAAAUCUUUUUUAAUUAAACAGCAUUUCAUGAUUGUGUAGGAAGCAAAGUGCGUCCCGUCCCAUAGUGAGUUGUGUUCCUGUGCCCCCCUCCUCCACAGUCUCCUAGGGUUCUACCUUAGUCCUGGUUAAUUAACUGUUUUGAUCCCGUCUGUUCUGUGCAGUGAGUUCCUUUUGCUUUGUCUAAAUGUUCCUGUUUUUACAUGAAACAUGUUCUAAGCGUGUUGAAAGUGUGUUGUCCAAUGAGGAAGAGGAUCAUGAGAAAACUUCCGGGCACAGUGACAUGCAUG